rnacentral:ncRNA from 1 species
UAUAUUUGCAAUCGUUAAAAUUUACAUAAUAAUCAUUUAAAAUAAUAUUGGCAUG